GGUAACAGGGGUAGCUUUGCUCGCUGACGACCGGCAAACGGGUGCGUAACACUUACGCAAUCUUCCCCUAACUGGAGGAUAGCCUCUCGAAAGAGAGAUUAAUACUCCGUAACAUUAUGUAAUGGCAUCAUUAUAUAAUUAUAGCUCCGGCGGUUAGGGAUGAGCGUGAGGCUGAUUAGAUAGUUGGUGAGGUAACCGGCUCACCAAGUCAACGAUCAGUAGCUGAUGUGAGAGCAUGAUCAGCCACACGGGCACUGAGACACGGGCCCGACUCCUACGGGAGGCAGCAGUGAGGAAUAUUGGUCAAUGGACGCAAGUCUGAACCAGCCAUGCCGCGUGAAGGAUGAAGGUCCUCUGGAUUGUAAACUUUNUUUUAUAUGGGAAGAAAUGUGGAUUUUCUAAUCUACUUUGACGGUACCAUGUGAAUAAGCACCGGCUAACUCCGUGCCAGCAGCCGCGGUAAUACGGAGGGUGCAAGCGUUAUCCGGAUUCACUGGGUUUAAAGGGUGCGUAGGUGGACUUAUAAGUCAGUGGUGAAAUCCCGAAGCUCAACUUCGGAACUGCCAUUGAUACUGUUAGUCUUGAAUAUCCUGGAGGUGGGCGGAAUAUGUCAUGUAGCGGUGAAAUGCUUAGAUAUUGACAUAGAACACCAAUUGCGAAGGCAGCUCACUACGGGAUGAUUGACACUGAGGCACGAAAGCGUGGGGAUCAAACAGGAUUAGAUACCCUGGUAGUCCACGCCCUAAACGAUGGAUACUCGUCAUUUGUGAUAUACAUAAGUGAC
rnacentral:rRNA from 1 species